rnacentral:lncRNA from 1 species
GACUUCCUGGAGGCGGCGCGAAACGGCAAUGGCGGUCCUCUUCGGUCUCUGAAGAGGGGCUCCGCAGAAAAGGGUCGUCCGCUGCGGCACAGCGGGGACCCAUUAAGAAAAACCACGGGCAGAGUGAGCCCGUGGCCGUGGGACUCGGCGGGCACCAGGAGCGACCCCAAAACGAAGAAGGAACCCCGUAAGGGGCUCCGGAAACGUGGAAGGGGGAGCGGUGCUGUGAGUUCAUCGCUCUUUCUGCGGGAGCGAAGCCGCGCGGCUGCUGCCGAUGAGCGCCGACCUUUCUUCUUGGAACAUCAGGCUGUAAACUACCUACUCGUGAGUAAGGAUCAAUCAUUUUGGAACUAAAAGUGUUAAAUUUGGCUGAAAGCGGGAGACGAUAAACAGGAAGUCCGUCUUCCGGCAGUGCUUUAAAGAUCAAAGGCAAAGAUUUUAACAAGCGGGAAGCAGCUUUAAAAGAUUAUAAAUUUGGGACUAUCGUGUUGACAGAAUUGGCUUUUAAAAAGAAGGAGAAAAGACUUUUAUUUCUAAGUGUUUUGGACUUUAAAUGGGACUUUCCUCCCCUUUAUGGAUUAUAAAGAAUUAAGAACCAAACCUCGGACUGACAGGAAAAAAGAGAGCUGUCAUUGCGGAAACUGUAUCCAAAAUAGAGACUGUUACAGUUGAGUGAUACUGGCAAGAUACAAUUAAAUAAACUGUUACUGGCACCUUUUAUCUGAGACUUUGUGGCAGCUUGGGAAGUGCUCUGUAAGCUAAAAAAGUUUAUGAAGGACUUUUGGUAAAUUAGACUGUUUUGGGGCUGCAGGGACUUUAAUGGCGGAUAAAGUUCUUUCCUUUCUAUGAACUACAGUAAUACUCCCCCUAGUGGAGUUCUGGAAUUACAAGUGCCUGGGAACAAAUUUUGUUUGUACUAUCUGCUGCUCUGUUAUUUACACUUUGGAACUGUCCUUCCCAUGGGACAAUAUACAGCUUGACCUUGACUCAUAGACAGGUGUGGAAUGAGUGGCCAACCGAAAACAAGAGCUGCUAAAACGAAAGCAAGACAAGCCCAACUUGUGCAAACAACUUUGACUACUCAGUCACGUAGAUCAUCUGUCCCAGCUGUUUUGGGAGUACAAGAAAAGGAAAUCGCACAGCCUGCAUCAGAGGAUAUGGCAGAGGGAGGAUCAGAUACCUUCUUAAAACAAAUGCUAGAACAAUUUGCAAUAUUGAACAAGAAGGUGGAUGACCAAUCGGCAAAAAUAGAUCAAGCCACAUCCUCUAUUACUAAAUUGUCUGACCAAGUUGCACAACAUACACAAGUUAUUGGGAAUCUCAAGGAAGCAACUGUGGAAAAUCGGAGACUGGCUGAAGCAGCCAAUGAAAAAGCAGAACAAGCAAAUCAAAAAGUUGAGGCUAUAAAAGGGGAGGUAAGGCCACUACACAAGCACAUUAGUGAUCAGCAGGCUUACCUGUCUAUGGUGGAAUUGAGAAACCGGGAAAACAAUCUGAGAUUAAGAGCUAUCCCAGAGCUUGAACAGGAAGAUUUAAUUGGUUAUCUGACAGCAGAAUUUUCCAAGUUCUGGGGUAUAGAAGAGGACAAAGAUUUCAAGAUCACAACUGCGUUUAGAUUAGGAAGAGUCGUGAGGAGGGACAAGCCCAGAGACUGUUUGAUUAUUUUGAGAUCCAAGCAGGAGAGAGAUAAAAUACUAGGCCUCCACUUUAAGAAAUCACUUGAUAUCCAAGGCAAAAGAGCAGAAUUUUAUAGAGAUAUUCCUAAACAACUUUUGGAUCUCAGAGCCACAUAUACAGACCUAGCAAGACUACUGAGAGGAAACGCGAUUCCAUAUAGGUGGGAGUUUCCCAAGGUUUAUCUUUUAAUUUUAAAGGAAAGAAAAUUAAGAUUAAAACAUCAGAAGAUAACCAGAAGUUCCUGCACGACCACGGAGAAGACCUUCAGAAGGGAGCAGCAGCCUCUUGGCCACCGCCACUGCCUGGAAAAGCACCGAUACCUACACCCUCGGGGCCAGAAGAAAAGGAAGACACCCCACUAUAGGAACAACAGAUUGAUUCAGAAUGUCUCUGCAGCUGUACAGUUGGAAUAUAAAUGGCGGGAACUCCCCGGAAAAAGACGAAGGAUUUUUCAUAUUUUGAAAAAGAACAAUUGGAUAUUGUUUGCUUGCAAGAAACGCAUGUGACUAGGCUCCAUAGGAAAGUGUUAAUCAACAAAAGACUAGGCCAAGAAUUUAUUUCAUCAGACAAAGUGAAGAAAAGAGGCGUAGUGAUUUAUGCAAAGGAGAACCUGUCACCGAAAUUUUUGUUUAAAGAUGAGCAAGGAAGAAUUUUGGCAAUUGAGAUACAAACACAAGGAGAAAAGUUUUUGAUUUUAGGAAUAUAUGCACCAAAUGAGGGGAAAUCGGAAUUUUACAAGAAGCUGCAUGAGAUAAUGCUGGACUAUCUGGACUAUACCAACAUCAUAAUGAUGGGCGAUAUGAAUGGGGUGGUUUCUACUCACAUGGAUAAGUCACAAAAUCAAAAUUUAACUAAAGACGGCAGACUACCUAAAACCUUCUUUGAACUAACUGAUAACAUGGACUUGAUUGAUAUUUGGAGGACAAGGAACCCCUUAGGUAAAGAAGGAACAUUCUUUUCUGAGGCCCACCUAUCAUGGACAAGAAUCGACCAAAUAUGGACAACUAGAGGACUGGCACCUAAGAUCAGAAAAGUGGAAAUCUGUCCAAAGACUUGCUCCGACCAUAAUGCUUUGAAAGUAGAAUUGAGACUUACUCCAACCGGUUCUUUCAGAUGGAAAAUGAAUGACACCCUACUAAGAGAUCAGGAGAUUGUGAAGAAGGCCCAAAAAACCUUAAAGGACUACUUUGAAAUCAAUUUGAACACUUCGGUGGAAAAGAGAACAAUCUGGGACGCAAGUAAAGCUGUAAUGAGGGGGUUUCUGAUACAACAGAACACAAUCAAGAAAAAACUUUGGAAUGGGAAAAGAUAGGAUAUUAGAGAAGAUAAGAGAAGGAGAGAAAAAUUGAGAUUAAAACCAAAAUCAAAAGAGGUUCUAAGAGAAAUCAAAUUCCACCAAGCUCAAUAUGCGAAAUUGAUAAAUCAAGAAGUGGAAUGGAAAAUCAAACAAAUGAAACAAAGAUCAUUUGAAUCGGCAAAUAAAUGUGGAAAACUGCUAGCAUGGCAGUUGAAAAAGAGACAAAAAUUGAACUUUGUCACUAAUCUAGAGGUGGAAGGGAGAAACAUUCAGAAACCAGAAGAAAUUAGAAAGUGUUUCCAGAAAUAUUUCAAAAACUUUAUACUCAAGGGCCUCAGGAAGUGUCUGAGAUAGAUCAAUUUUUAAAAGUUAACGGUCUAUCCAAACUAUCUCAGGAGAAGAGGACAAUCUUAAAUAAUAGAAUAACAC